CUUAUGUCUGCAUGUUGUUCUCUACCCAGAAAACAAAAAGAGCCCCAAAGGUAGAAGUAGGCACCAAGACCACAGAAGCUAAUAUGGAUGAGUGGCUGCAGGGAACUGCAUAUGCGCAGUCUCUUUCAAGCAAGUCGAAGAAGAAAAAGUGAAUUUACAUGUCCUUACGGAUUAAUAGGGCACUGAUUUGUUGUAGUUUGUAAACUACAGUAGUUUUCAUAGAGGAAGAAGAAUUUUCAGUUGCUUGCAAGACGUAGAGUUAAGUUUAGGUGAGGAGAAUAUUAAUAUGAGGUGAUACUUGAUAGUUCUGUUUCCUGUAAUACUUAAUCUGGGUACUGGAUUUAUUGACAGAAAAAAGGAAUGGUAACCCAAGCUGUAGAAUUUUGGCCAAAUUGUCAAAUUGAGCUGCCUUCAUUUUCAUAUCUGGGUACUGGAUUUAGUUA